rnacentral:rRNA from 1 species
GAUGAACGCUGGCGGCGUGCCUAAUACAUGCAAGUCGAGCGAACAGACGAGGAGCUUGCUCCUCUGACGUUAGCGGCGGACGGGUGAGUAACACGUGGAUAACCUACCUAUAAGACUGGGAUAACUUCGGGAAACCGGAGCUAAUACCGGAUAAUAUAUUGAACCGCAUGGUUCAAUAGUGAAAGACGGUUUUGCUGUCACUUAUCGAUGGAUCCGCGCCGCAUUAGCUAGUUGGUAAGGUAACGGCUUACCAAGGCAACGAGGCGUAGCCGACCUGAGAGGGUGAUCGGCCACACUGGAACUGAGACACGGUCCAGACUCCUACGGGAGGCAGCAGUAGGGAAUCUUCCGCAAUGGGCGAAAGCCUGACGGAGCAACGCCGCGUGAGUGAUGAAGGUCUUCGGAUCGUAAAACUCUGUUAUUAGGGAAGAACAAAUGUGUAAGUAACUAUGCACGUCUUGACGGUACCUAAUCAGAAAGCCACGGCUAACUACGUGCCAGCAGCCGCGGUAA